UUCCUGGCCACUUUGUUUACCUACUCAAGCCUCAGUAAUGGCGGAUGCCCCUCUCUCAGCCAGACUGCCACCUCGCAGUUCGAUCUUGGCCUGCUGCUCUAGCAGUGAGCAAGGCUCAUCCACGGAUUUAUUUCUGGGACUGCAGUGACCAGCAAAUGUAUCUACUUGCCAGAUGUCAAGCUGGAACUCAGAGAAUACACCAUCUUUUGAGAAGAAGGAGCCCUGUGCUGUGACAGAGUAUCGAGAGAAAUUCAGAGAACCUCAGGAGGAAGUGCGAGAGCAAAUGAGGCAAGAACUGGAGUGCUCAAGGGCUGGAAUCAGCUGGCAUCUUUGGCACCCACAGAAACAAACUCCAUUCACUUGGACCCGCUGUGUUUCACCCUUCACGGGAGGAAGCACACAGGUGUGUUAGAAAUGGGGUCUGAAGUACGGCUGCUAACAACUCCCAUGAGCAGAGUGAACAAGCAAGAGACCUGCUGGACCCACUGUGUCCUUUGAACUCUCAGAGCAGUUGGGAAUUGUGGAGGUUCAUUAAAGGAUGGAAACGACCCUGAAAAGCACUCUUGAAUACAGUGUAUUUUCACCAGGUAAAGCAAAAUGAGUUUUUUAUGGUUCACUGAGGACAGCCAACCCCUUCACAAUCUAGAACCUGAAGACUGGAUCAUCUGAAAACAUCAGGGAAAGAUUGCUUUGCCAUCCCUACUGCAAUAAAACUUUGGAACUUGAACUGUGGGUUCAUAAUCUCACAACUGAGAAGGGUCCCUCCACACUCAUGGAACUGUACACCCAUUGGAACCCUUAAGGUCCAGUUAAACAGGAAUGUCUCUCCCCAGAAGAAGAUUGCAUGCUUGAUGUGAACAGCUUUUCCCAAGAUCACGGAUCAAGACUUCUCUACUAUCAUGAGACUCUUAUCUUUGAACUUUUUUUCUUGUUUAUGCCUCUAUGAGUAAUAGAAAUAAGAUAGGAGUCUGUUUAGUGCACUUAUGUGGUAUACUUUUAUCUGUGAAGGAUUUUGUAGCCAGCCUUAUACAUAGAUAAAAGAUGAAGGCCCAAUGCAGGUGAGAAACUUUAAUGGUACAUACUUUUCUUCAUAUUCAGUCAGAAACAGAACAUUGAUUUACUAUUCUUACCCACAUCAAGGAUUAAAGAGAAUAUUGAUUGCUAGGAGGCCUUCAUUCUUCUAGAAGGGCAUCAUUUUUCCAUCGUUUGGAGUAAAAGAGGUAAUAACCAGAAAUGUAUCCCUCAUGAUAGGUUCUAUAGCAGAUUCUACUGUAAAGGCUGUGGUCACACAACAGACUUAUUAAAUUAUCUUGUGAAAGUUACGCUAAAUAAUUGAAUUGUGGCCUAUGAAGAACUACAUUAAAUGAAGAUUAUAGAGAGAGAUUCAGAUGUAGGAUAUUAACAAACAAAAAGAUCACCUAGUUAAGCAAGUAGACUCCCUAUCUAACUCAUUCUUUACUCUUUUCGAUUUUAGGUGGUUUGGUUUAUGGGGAGUCUGAAUAAGAAGCAUACUCCAAACUCUUGGUAUUAUCCUCCCGAUAGUAAUAAUAGUUUCCCUGGUACACUGUAUUUUCUCAAAGGUUCUAAAUGUUUGCAUUCUGCCACCUCUAGAAUGGCAAAUGGUCUGUCUUUAACUGGAACUACAAGAGUUGAAAGAAGCACACAACCAUGAGGACACUGUAACCUAUGAAUGAGGUGCUGAGACAGGAAACUCAAAAUGAUGGUAACUGAAAAUGAUGCUAAGGCCCUAAGUUGUGGUCACACUUUCACCAAAGUGAGAACCUGACCAAAAAGGGGAAAUUUUAAAAACAAAAUUAUGAGAAACCAUUGUUUUAGACUAAGCUAAUGCACUAGACCCCAACAGACGAAACCAAACUAAAAUGAAGUUGGUCAUGCUAACUAACUGUGCCUAGAGCAGAUCAGGUUUUGUUUUUCUCCUGUAAACAGGAUGUUCUAACAUAAGGAGGUAUCCUCUAUUCAAGUCCUUGCUCCUACCUUUACAAAACUCACUGUUCUACUAUUUUCCAGUGGGCUUAAAGACCAAAUAAGUACACUUAUGGUGUUGAUACUGACAUCAAUGACAAGAGUUUUGUUCAAUCUCUCAAAAUUGAGAAAAUGACCAAAAGAGGGGAAUUGCUAAAGUGAACUACAUAUGGCCUGAGAAGGAUCUCAUACUUCUAUAUUUGAGUCCUUGUGGGUGAACGCAAUCUAACUUACUUAAUAGGUAGACAAAAUUGAAAACCUAACUUAGGAGUAGCACCUGUAACAAUAGCUGAGUCUUGGCCAAUCCCAGCAGCCACAUUUCAACCAGUCAUACCCUGCUGAGUGUUUAAACUGUGUUCCAAUAAGGCAAAUGCCAACCUGUAACCAACCCAGCCAUUCCUGUACCUCACUUCCAAUUUCUGUACAUCACUUUACUUUUUUUGUCUAUAAAUUUGUUCUGACCAUGAUGCACCCCUAGAGUCUCUGAAUCUGCUGUGAUUCUGGGGGAUGUCUGAUUCAUAAAUCGUUUAUUGCUCAAUUAAACUCCUUUAACUUUAAUUCGGCUGAAGUUUUUCUUUUAACAAAAGAAAUUAAAACAUGAAAAUUGGUGAUAUAAUCUAAA
rnacentral:lncRNA from 1 species